rnacentral:rRNA from 1 species
AGCGAACGCUGGCGGCAUGCCUAACACAUGCAAGUCGCACGGGGGGGCUUCGGCCUCCCAGUGGCGGACGGGUGAGGAACGCGUAGGGACCUGUCGAGGGGUGGGGGAUAACCGCGGGAAACUGCGGCUAAUACCGCAUGACGCCGCGGCGUGACAGCCGGGGCCAAAGGCGAAAGCCGCCCGCCGAGGGGCCUGCGUCCGAUUAGCUGGUUGGCGGGGUAGCGGCCCAGCAAGGCGUCGAUCGGUAGCUGGUCUGAGAGGGUGAUCAGCCACACCGGGAAUGAGACACGGCCCGGACUCGGACGGGAGGGAGCAGUGGGGAAUAUUGGACAAUGGGCGCAAGCCUGAUCCAGCAAUGCCGCGGGGGUGAAGAAGGGGGUCGGAUUGUAAAGCCCUUUGGGCGGGGACGAGGGUGACGGUACCCGCAGAAGAAGCCCCGGCUAACUUCGUG